GACCUGGCCGGGUGGUCCGCUUAACGGCGUGUACUGUCUGGCUGGGCCUUACCUCUUGGUGAGCCGGCGUAUGCUUUUUUAGUGUGCGUCGGGGAACCAGGACUUUUACCUUGAGAAAAUUAGAGUGUUCAAAGCAGGCCUAUGCCCGAAUACAUUAGCAUGGAAUAAUAAAAUAGGACGUGCGGUUCUAUUUUGUUGGUUUCUAGAGUCGCCGUA
rnacentral:rRNA from 1 species